ensembl:lncRNA novel transcript
GAUCAGAGGACGGUUCCCACAGAGCUGGAACUCACCUCUGAGAAGAGGAUAUUGCUCAGCUGCUUCUCGUGCCUCCAAGUGAACACAAUAGUGAUGCUGAUUCGUGAAGUUAGAAAGAAUGUGGAAACUAGAAAACCACAGCUAUAACCAACUGCUGCUGCUAAGAAUACCUGAAACUGGAUAAUACGUAAAGAAAAAAAUUAAUUCUUACAGCUAUGGAGGCUGGGAAGUCCAAGGUCAAAGGGCUGAAUUUGAAUGGGACUGUUUCAAGGGAAGGCUCCUUACAGUGAAGAAAAGGGUCAAAUCCAAUUAAAAUUGCAAAGGAAACUUCGCGAGGACGAAUGCCAUUAGCCCAAACUGGAAUGUGGCCAAAACACGGGGUAAUACUUCAACUCUUAGAAAAAGUGCCAGGGGGAUAUUUAACAACUGCAGGUGGCCAAAUGCUUUCUCAUAAGUCUCAUCAGAAACGUCAUUUAUAGCAACAGUAUUCACCAAGAAUUGUAAGAGAAACAUUUUGUGAACUGUGAUAUAAAGGUGAUGGAAAAUGCAGGCCUGUUAGUGACAUAACACAUCCAUUCUUGAAUCCUGCAAAGGAUAUUAUGUGAGCAAAUGCACAUAGUGAAACCUAAAAAGGUUCCAGUUUUUAAAUGCUGAAUGCUAGAGAGCUCUGCUUUUACCUGCUGUGAUUUAAAAGGCUAGAGGCCUCAUUUUAAGCCACUAAAAUUCAAAGUGACAGAAACCUACAAAUUUUUAUUGCUGUGCAUUUAAUAAAAUUUACAUUUACAA